rnacentral:lncRNA from 1 species
UUUUUUUUUUUUUUAAAUCUUUAUGAAGUACUGGUUUUCUCACUGAGGAUGGAUUGUUUGACAUGAUUCGUGCAUCAAAUCGUUCAAAAUCCACCAAAAAAGAAGAUCCCAAGAAACAAGUGGACAAAAUAGCAACACCUUCAAAAGCAAGCCCUAUUAAAGGAGGAAAUAAAAGUAUGAAACUUUAUAUAAAACUUUAACAAUAACCAUCUAUCUUUAUGUGUUGACCAUUUUAUUUGCAACAUUUUAGAGGAAGAAGUUUGUGAAUCUCCACAAAAGGGUAAAGCUACCACGCAUGCUAGUCCAGGUGUCGCUUCUUCCAUGCGGAAAAAACCAACAGUGGGCCAGUCUUCACUACCAUGGACAGAAAAGUACAAACCAAAGGUUCCAAAUGAUAUCAUUGGGAAUCAGUCUCUAGUUAAGCAGCUUCAUGAUUGGUUGAUACAUUGGAAUGAUAAUUUCCUAAAUGGUGCCAGCAAGGCGAAGGGAAAGAAACAGAGCGACUCAGGGGCAAAGAAGGCAAUAUUGCUAAGUGGUACACCUGGCAUAGGGAAGACCACGUCAGCAAAGUUGGUUAGUCAGAUGCUUGGGUUCCAGACAAUUGAGGUUAAUGCCAGUGAUAGUCGUGGAAAAGCUGAUGCCAAAAUUGAAAAGGGAAUUGGUAGUAGCACUGCUAAUUCUGUAAAAGAGCUUGUUAGUAAUCAAUCUUUAAGUGUUGACUUUGACCGGUCAAAGCAUCCAAAGGCGGUGUUGAUUAUGGAUGAGGUUGAUGGUAUGUCUGCUGGAGAUAGAGGUGGUGUGGCUGAUCUUAUUGCCAGCAUUAAAAUAUCUAAAAUCCCUAUAAUUUGUAUAUGCAAUGAUCGAUAUAGUCAAAAACUAAAAAGCUUGGUCAACUACUGCUUACUUCUUUCCUUCCGGAAACCAACAAAACAACAAAUGGCGAAAAGAUUGUUACAAGUUGCAAAUGCAGAAAAGAUUCAAGUAAAUGAGGUGGCACUUGAGGAACUAGCUGAAAGAGUUAAUGGAGAUAUGCGUAUGGCUCUGAAUCAAUUACAAUACAUGAGUCUCUCAAUGUCUGUCAUUAAGUUUGAUGAUGUGAGACAACGCCUUCUUACUAGCUCUAAAGACGAAGACAUUUCUCCAUUUACAGCAGUUGAUAAGUAUGAACCAAUAACAAGUCUAUGUUUUUGUUAUAUUUAUAAAAAACAAUCCAUGGCUAAUUAUUUGGGUUUUUCUUGUUGAAGGUUGUUUGGUUACAAUGGUGGAAAGCUACGGAUGGAUGAACGGUUUGAUCUGAGCAUGAGUGAUAUGGAUUUAGUACCUCUUUUGAUUCAGGAAAACUAUAUAAACUACAGGCCAAGUACAGCUGGCAAAGAUGAGAAUGGUCUCAAGAGGUUGAACUUGAUCGCACGUGCUGCUGAUUCAAUUGCAAGUGGAGAUAUAAUCAAUGUACAAAUAAGAAGAUAUCAAAAGUGGCAACUCUCUCAAAGUAGUUCGCUCGUGUCAGCUAUAAUCCCGUAAGUUAGUUUUAAUAUUUUCAGUUAUGUGGAUAAUUGUUGAUGAUGAUAAUUUUUUUUUGUUUUGUUUGAAAAAGGGCUGCUUUGUUACGUGGACAAAGGGAAACACUUGAACAGGUAAAAGUUCUUUAAUUGGGUGUAAAUAAAUCGAUGUAUGUCUUAUUUUUUAUAUGUAUAUAGGGUGAACGAAACUUUAACAGAUUUGGGGGGUGGCUUGGAAAGAACUCUACCAUGGGAAAGAAUUAUAGGCUUCUUGAAGAUGCUCAUGUUCAUCUUUUAGCUUCUCUACAAUUCAAUUUGGGCAGGUAAUGUAUAUUUUCUUAAUAAGUUAAUUGAGUUUUAGUUUUCACUUUUCGCUGGAGUGUAAACAGUUUUUGAUGAAUGAUGAUUUUGGUCAACUGGUGUAGGUCGACCCUGUGUCUCGAUUAUCUGUCUCUUCUACUUAAGCACAUGACUGAUCCAUUAAAGACACUGCCAAAGGUACAAGUGAUUUUAAAAAAAAAAAAGUGCUAUGAUUUCUUUUAACUGAAUGUUGUUUUGGAUAAAUGGCAGGAUGAAGGUGUUGAAAAGGUCGUGGAGUUUAUGGAUGCAUACUCUAUUAGUCAGGAGGAUUUUGAGUCACUGAUGCUGAUGUCCAAGUUUCAGGUAAAUAAAAUAACAGUUUGUGGUUUUUUUUAUUCACUUGGAUUAUAAAUUUAUAAUUAUUAUUAUUAUUAUAUGUGUAGGGGAGGCCGAAUUUACUUGAGGGUGUGCAACCUGCUGUGAAAGCUGCACUGACGAAGGCGUACAAUAAAGGAAGCAAGACACGGGUGAUACGUACAGCAGAUUUGAUCACACUUCCAGGCAUUAAAAAAGCUCCAAAGAAACGGGUUCAAGCAAUGCUAGAGCCAGUAGAUGUUGGUGAUGCAACAGUGGAGAAUGAGGAAAACAACUCGGAUGAUGUUGAGGAUUUGGGUAUUCUUAUUGUUUUUCACAUUGUUUUUGUUUAUCAUCUUUUAAAAUGGUUUCCAUUCAUGAGUACGAUUUUUGUGUGAUUUAUUAAAAAAAAAAAAAAUCAGAAGGUGAUGCUGAGGAGGAAAAGCCUAAAGUGGACAUUGCAAGCCUCUCUUCAAAAGGUAAGAUUCUCCUCCUUACAAUUUCUAGAAGCAGAUAAAUCUGUUAUUGAGUUGACUUAUUUUGUAUGUGUGUAUGUAUGUAUGUAGGAAUUCAAGUACAAGUGGAUGCAAAAAAGGCUUCAGGCUCAAAGAAGGCCCCUGCUGCAGGAGGAGGAGGAGGCAGGGGAAGAGGGGGUGGUGCUGCUCCCAAAAGGAAAAGAUGAAGGACAGGUUUGGUUUUGGUUUUGGUUUUGUGAAGUUAUCUGUUUUGGGUGUUUGUGGGUGAUGUGCUGUAAACAAUGAAAAAAAUGUCUCGAGAGUUUUCAAGAUAUGCGAUCUUUGGUAUGAGUUUGUUGUUUUGGAUGAUCUUGGUCUCUUUUUGCAAAGCUGAGGUUAUAAGUCAAUUAAAGCUCAAGUAGAUGAAUAAUUUAAGUAUAUAUAUAAUUAAAAUAAAGUUAUAGAAGUAAGAAAAAUGAUUCACCUGAGAUAAACAAUUCAAUAUGGUAUUGUAUGAGGACUUCUAGACAUCCAUUGCAAUAUGAUGAUUCAUUUAAUGAUUAUAUAUGCUGUUUGUAAGCAACUUUUUAAUAUAAUGAUUCAUUUCAUCAAAAAAACAGUUAGUUACAUAUUUCAUCAUGUAUCAAAUAUUAGUCAAGGGAAUUCAUGUUUAAAUAACUUAUAGGAUUACUCGUACGAGUGCUAGUCUCAUCAGGCUAGCCCACACAAUCAAAAAUUUCCUCUUUAUAACACAGUUUAUAGGGAACUAGAGUAUAGGCACCUCAAAAUAUACCCCAAAUGUGUCUGAUAGUUGGCUAACCUAUGCCCACAAGGUCUAAUCAACUUACAUUUUUCUUCCAUUCUCACCGGUUUAAAUAUAUGAAUCUACUACAAGACAUCUAGUUCACUUAAACCAUAACUAUGAUACUAACUUGACAAAUUAAUACAAAAUACACCAAUUUCUUUUUAAAUCACAAACUACAUGGUGUACAUUCAUAUUAAAAUCGUAGAAUACAAGUACUUACAAAAAAGGAUUGUAUACCACAAAAUUAUACAAAGUUUCGAGUCAGGCUAUGUCUUUAUCUUUAUGGGUUUCACUUGGAACUGAAAGGCAAAACAAGUAACGAUUAAGGUAUGCAAGCUUAGUGAGUACUCAAAUAACCAUAUACCUAUAAUAUCAACCACAAUCAACGAUAACGUUUCAAUCAACAUAAACAUGUAUAAAUCACAUAUCCUUUCAAGGUAAUUUAACAAUGGUUCUUGCCACAAAACUCAGUAAGUUCUGUCCCUCCAAAUCGCAUAAAUUACCCCUUUGGUCCUCCUACUUAGCCUUUACAUUUACAUUCCCUUUAUAAAUAAAACCUCAUUAUUUUAGGGUUUUAAACCUCCAAUUUUCACACAUUUUAUUACAUUACAUAGGUUAUACCCAAAAAACCACAAAUAUCAUUUUGACAUUUUAAUUCACAUAUGACGACUAAAAAGAGAACGGGUUUACAUAUCAUUUCUUUCAUUUCCUACAAUUUUUGCAUUUCUCAUAUGAUCGGGUUACAUUACAUAUAUCAUUAUAUUGUAACAUGAGUUUAAGCUAAACCUGAUAAAGACACAUUAUUUCUAAGAUCUCAUCAGUAACCAGUUUCUUAAUACAAAUAAUUUAUGGGUACAACUCCUCCCAAGUCCCAAUGUAAGAAAUAAUCAUAUGAUGAUAUUCAAAUGUGUGGAAAAAAUUAUAUAUAUAUAAAUUACCCUAAACCUCAACCCCUAAUUUUCAUAAUAAACCUAAUCAUGAAACCAGGUCAAAAUCUUCAAAUCUUUAACCACAUAUGAUCAUUGGUCCAUAUCAAAAUAUAGUCUUUAUGGACCCAUAUCCAUUAUGAUGUGACUUCUGCCAUUUCCAUGCAACCUCCAAACUUUUUUCUAAAUCAGUGUGCCGAGCUGACCAGUUGAGUUCCCGAAGUAUCUUUGAUGGGUCACUGUACACCUCAGCAUAGUCACCAGGCCUACGUGGCAGGUAGUCCACUUUAAUCGAUGCCCCUGUUGCCUUCUUACAUGCUUCCACAAACUCUUUAACUGAUCUACCUGUCAUACCAUUCACAAAACAACAUUGUAAUUAAAAAAAAAAGAUUGUACCAUUUAAUUAUGUUAUAUUAUAAAAAAAAAAGAUUGUACCUUUUCCUGUUCCAACAUUGUAAAUCCCAACAUGGCCAGGUUUUGCAUUCUCAAGUGCUUUUACAUGAGCAUCAACUAAAUCAGUAACAUCAAUGUAGUCACGUAUGCAAGUUCCAUCUGGGGUUUUAUAGUCUGUUCCUCGAACCUUCAUCACAUUCACAUACAAAGUUAAUCUGUUUGGUUGGAAUGGAAUGGAAUCAGAUGUGGGAAUGGAAUGGAAUGAAAGAUUACCUUGAGCCCAUUGGUAAUUCCACGAGCUGCAUCAAAACAUGCACCUGAUAUUCUUCCAUGUUCACGUAACUCUGGUCUUGGUGCUUCUCCUAAUCUUCCAUCUGGAUCUGAACCAAUCACAUUGAAGUAUCUGGAAUUCAAUAAGUUGUCAGAAACAUUUUUACUAAACUAUGUGUCAAAUGAAAAAUUGUUAAUCAACCUUAAAAUCAUAACUGCCAUGUCUGAGUUUUGAUGAAAAUCUUGAAUGAUAUCUUCAGACAUCUUUUUGGCUUUCCCAUAUGGAUUAAUAGGAUUUUGAGGGGUUUCUUCUGUAAUUGGCAUCUUUUCAGGUUCCCCAUAUGUAGCACAUGUGCUAGAAUAUAUAAGUGUAUUAACAUUAUGUACUGACAUAGCCUCCAAUACCACAAGGGUAUUUGAUGUAAUGUUGUGAUAAUACCUGCAUCAUUACAACAAAAAAAAACAACAUUUUCAAGAUAAUUGAAGUGGAAGAAAAGAAGAAAAGAACAGAUAUAAUUGAUAAUACCUACUUUAAUGGAUCAAGGGUACUCUCACCCACAUAUGCAACUGCUGCAAAAUGUAUUACUGCAUCAAAUGCAUUUUCAGAAAAGAUUUUGUUUACAGCUUUUGCAUCUCCCAAAUCAGCAUAAAUAAAUUGGAGUCUCCCAGGUUGUGGGAACAGGUCUUGAAGAACUUUCACAGCUCCUAUGUUUCCACGAGAGAGAUUGUCCUAUAAAAAAUUUACAUUAUUUAUAGUCGGAUUAUAUGUUAUAAAUUUAUUUAAAAAAAAAAAAGAAGAGAUAAUUAUAAUAUAUACCACUAUGGUUACACGAUAAGAGUCUUUUAGGAGGCGUAAUGUAGCAUGGGAGCCAAUAUAGCCAGCACCUCCAGUUACUAAGACAUGAGUAAUUCCUGUUUCAUGCCUAGAGAACUUGAAAACAAAAUGAAAAAUAAGCAGAAAUGGACAAAAAACAAAUAAAUAAACAAAUGAAUGAAAAGGGUCUAUUUACUUACUGGGCUAGGGCUCCUGAAAGAUGGGGAUUGUUUGAGCAUGAAGAUACAUAAUGCUAUAAGGAAUGAAGCAAAAAUAAUCUUUCUUACAAAUCCUUUCUUCUUGUUUGGCUCUGUAUGAUCCAUACCUGAAACCAUAAAAACCAAAAACAACUUCAAAUUCUGUAAGCUUUGAUGUAAAAGUUUUAUCAACCAUCAAGUUGUGAGAUUACCUCCUAAAGCGUAAGACCUGUUAGGCCUUGGCUGGGUUCUUGGCUUGUUAAAGUUUUGCAUUUGUAGAAGAAGAAUCCCUCUGUGAAAUUAACUAUUGUUGAUUAAACUGUAAGACACACCUUGCUUUGAUCAGUAGUAGAAUUAUAUUGUUAAAGUUCCAUGGAAGUAAGAGACAGAACAAGGAAACAGAAACAAGAGCCUUGGUAAUGAUUUUAUCAUCAGUAAGAGUUCAAUUCAACUGAAAAAAAAUAUUACUCGAGCUUAAGAAUUUGAAAUACAUAGCAAAAGCAGUGUAUAAAUCGAUAUCCGGGAACGAGGAUCAAAUUCAUUAAGCUCGAUCUUCAAUCAAAUUCAACAAAAGGUCAGCAUGACCAACAUGAGAUCACCAUACUGUACAAAAAUACAAUAGAAUGCCAAGAUCUAAGGAUUAACCCCGGAGAAAAUCAAAAUACAAACAUGCAAAAUCUAUAAUUAACCUCAAGGGAAGAAACGAAGGAGAAAGAAAUCGAGUGAAACAAAAAUAUUUCGUCAACGAUUAGACAAAAGGGUUACCUGACAAAAGCAGCAUUCCAAAAACCUGCGAAUGCAAAAGAAGGAUCAGAGAAGAUCUAUGACGAGAGAGCAAAAGGGUACAAUGGUGGAAAGCACUUCUUUAACAUUUGUAAGGAAAUUGUGAUUCUACAUAAUCAUCUGAUUGUUUCCAAACUCUGAAAAGGGUAAUGGUAAAUAAAGUAAACAGUCCGAGAUGCUUCCUGGAGAGAAGAACAAAACGUAACAAGGAAAAAGUGUAGAGAGAGAUAGACGUACGAUGAAAAAAUGAAGAAAGAGUAGGACAGACGAAUUGUGUUCUUGGACCAAGCUUCUGAAUCGUCGUCUUCUCUUUCUGCCUAGGUUUUGGAAUGAGGAGAGAGGAAAUGGAGGAAUCUCCGGUGAUGGUGCCAUCUGCCAUGUUCUAAGUCAAAAUGGAAGGAGGGAGAUUGGGAGAAUGUCUUCCCCAACACAAAAUAUCUCUUUAUUUUAUUUUAUUAUUUCUAUACUAUAUUUUCAUAAAUUUCAAUAUAAAAACAAAUGUUAAUAUGUUUUUUGGUAUGCCAUUUAAUAGAUUAUGUAUCUAAAUUUUGAGAAACGUUUUAAAACUUUUGAAAAAUUAAUUUAGAAUGUCGAACUAAAUAAUAUUAAAUAAAUUAUUAUAACAAAUAACAAAAAGCAGAUGUUAUUAAAAUCAUAUUAUUCAAAAUUUUCAAAAUAAUAGUUUAUUAUCUUUAUGAUUAAUAUGUAUGAAAACUACCUAAGACAUCAUGUCAUGUGUUUAUAGAACCAAGGUUCUUAAAUUAGCUGAUAGAAAUAUUGUAAUAAAAAUCUUUAAAUUUGUACGAAAUUAUGAGUUUUGUCAAAAUAUUGCAUAAGAUUGACGUGACAUUCCACCAAUAGCGGAACUUGAUAUCUCAGGGAUAACACACAUGAUUUUAGGAAUGACAUGCCGAAAAAUUUACAUUACGCCAGAAAAUUAGGGUUGCUUCGGCCACCUCGGGAAUCCUUUAUGUCUGCCCCUGCAUCCCAUGUCAAUGUGUUUUCCUUUAAUUAAAAAUUAAAGGUUUUAAAAGGAAGAAAAGGAGGUAAUCGGGUUUCGAACCGUAGCCUCCCACACAACAACCAAGCAUCUUCUCGCUAAGCUAGAACGAUUUUGGUGAAUACGUUUUUGAACUUUUAUAAAUAACCCAUUCCCCAUUACUAUUUUAAUCACAUUCCUUCUUUAUUAUACGGUAAUCAAAUCCUUAUGCUAAAACCAAUUACCGUUUACAUUCUAUAACACUCCUAAAAAUCACAAUAAAUUUAAAAUUUUCAAAAUCAACCAUUAAACAACAUUGUUUACAAGAGAGUCAUUGUUUCAAAAACAUUAUUUCAAAUAAGAUUUUUCCCAAGACCCAGUGGCAUAAAACAGGAAGCUGUGUACGAUCACGCCUUUGUCUUCCCACGAUCCUCUGAAGUACCAGAAACCAUAAACUAAAAUUGUAAACCAAAGUUUAGUGAGUUUUCCCAAAGUACCAACACACAUAUACAUAUAACAACAUAUAUUGGGUCCACAGCUAAAAAGACUGGAUUACCCCCGAGCCCACAGUAUGAGUCUGUCAUGCCAUACGGACCCUUACCUCAUAUAUGGAUUGCUCCUCAACCCACAGUAUGAGUUUGGCAUGCCAAUCAGGGCCUCAACUCAUAUUUGGAUUGCUCCCAGGUUUUUUAGCUAUCGCACAAAGCAGUACAACCUCAACCCAACACAAUAUGUCGACAUAUGUAACAGAUAAACAUAACACAUGAUCAACAAUUUCAAAUAAUCAUACAGAUUUACUAAUCAACUACAAACUAGCAUAAUAAUAUCCUAACCAGGAUAAAUAAUCUAGUAGACCGACAUUGGUGCCUUCGACCCACGGGUACAGUGAGGAGACUCACCUCACAGUCUGAAAGUAAUCUGAAUAAAUCCCUGCUCCGACAACCGACUCAACCCGACUCCCAAAUAUCAAAACAUUUUUUAUUUAAAUUAAUAACAUUUUCCCAAAAUACCCUUGGUCAAAACUGGUCAAAAUCAACAAGUCAACCGAGACGAGUCAACCCAGCCGAGUCAACUCAAGGCUCGUACGUGGGGCGUACUCCGGAUGUAUGUGGGACAUACUCGUGGUCCAAGACGUCGGGACUCAAACUGCGUACGCGCAACGUACCAUUUGGUACGCCCAACGUACGCACAUAUUUCAUUCUUAAUCAUUUAAGAGCUUAAUACCACGACUUAUUAUGUCCAUGUAACAUCCAUAAAUUUUCAUAAAAUUUAAACUUUUCAAAACAACCAUUUUUCUAUAGAAGUGUUUACAAAAACUGUUAUUCCCAAAACAUUAUUUAAAAAUCAGAAUCUCUUUCAACAUAGUUUGCAAAACAUUCAUAUUAUCAGAGUUUCCGAAAAAUCAUAAGUCCAAAACGUGAGGAUGUGUACGGUCACACCUUCACCUUGCCACGAUCCACUGAAGUACUUGAAACCAUAAACCAAAACUGUAAGCACGAAGCUUAAUGAGUUCCCCCAAAAUACCAACACCUAAACAGAUAACCUAUAUACAUAACAACAUGUAAUGGGUCCACAACUAAAAGACUGGAUUACCCCUUGAGCCUACAGUAUGAGUCUAGAUUGCUUAUCAGGCCCACAACUCAUAUCUGGCUUGCUCUCGAGCCCAUAGCAUAAGUAUGGCUUGCACUUGGUCCCACAACUUAUGUAUGACUUGCUCCUUUAGUCCUUGGACUGGAAUACCAAUGAGUAUCUCUCAGUAAGAGUCUGGCAUACCACCUGAUCCUCAGGUCGUAUCUGGAAUGCUAAUAAGCCCUCAGUAUGAGUCUGACAUGCCCUCCUUGGCCCUCAGCUCAUAUCUGGAAUGCUAAUGAGUCCACAAUAUGAGUUUGGCAUACCCUCCCUGGACCUCAGCUCAUAUCUGGAAUGCUAAUGAGUCCAUAGUAUGAGUCUGGCAUGCCCUCCCUAGCCCUCAGCUCAUAUCUGGCAUACUUCAGGAUUUGUUGGCUACAACACAAAGCAACACAACCCAACUCACAUAAUAUGUCGACAUAUAAUUAUUGGGUUUUGAGCAUUCUAACACUCCUAAGUGUACAUGCAACCCUAAAUACCUUGGAUCUAUGUUUUCUCUAUUAUACAUGCAAAUAUGAAUAUUCCAAGGUAUUACCCUAUUUAGCAUACAAUCUUUGAUACUUGGGUAAUAAAAUAGAUAGAAUACAUACCUUUAUGAUGUAACUUGUCUUCAUGAAGCUUGAGUGCCUAGUGCCCCAAGUGUGACACCUCAAAUGGUUCACACAACACCAUGAACACUUGGAAUAACCUUGAGAAUAAGGAUACUUUGGUUCUCAUUAGUGAAAUCGGCCUUAGCCUUUUGUAUUCAUACACUAGUGCCCAUUUCACCAACCAAGGACAUCUUUAUAUAGUGUGGAGAUUAGGGCUAAACCCAUGACCCUUCAUUUCAUAUUAUCCAUGGNAUGGAGGAUUAGGGUUAAACCCUAAUACCCAUGACCUUUCAUUUCCUAGGAUCCAUGGGUUAAACACUCCAUGGACUAUCCAUGAAAGCUUAGCCCAACCUAAAUGAACUUGGCCCAUUCCAUAUAUAUAAGAGUCCAUAUUUAAUUAGUUCCUUUUGAUCACUUAAAUAAUUAUAAAUUAAAUUUUGAUCAAUACUAAUUAAAUAAUAUGAUUAUAUAUUAAUAUAUUAUAACUUAUAAUAUAUUAAUAUAAAUCACCGGUAUCCUUUUUCCUCACCUUGUCUAUCCAAUUGUCCUGAUGCCAUGCAAACCAAAUGGACCAUGCCGAGUCGGGUCAAGUCUUACCAAUUAUAAUUAUGGACUUAGACAUUAAUCCAACAAUAAAAAAUAAUAUCAUAUACAAAUAAACAAACAGUAUCACAAGUAGUCCUACAGAUCUACCAGACUAACAUAUCAAGACCAGCAUAACCAAACUAACAUGCGCAUCUAUUCCAUAUUCGACAUAUCAACAAUAUCAGGCUAUCAACCAAAGGGCCGACCUUGGUACCUUUGACCCGAAAGUAUAGUGAGGAAAACUCACCUCGAAUGCAGAAGCUCCCCGAAGAUAAAUCCUUAGCUACUGUCCUACUGGCUUCCCAAGCUAUCAAUACCAACAACACACCCAAUUAGCAAUUGGGUUCCAUGCUAAAAUCCAUAAUCCAUACUUAGCUACUGCCCUGCCACCUUCUUCUUCUUAUUCUUCAAGAACACCACCAAAACACACAAAUAAGCUCAAAAUGCAAUCUUCUCAUUUAGGGUUAGAUAGAGGGACGAUUUUCAGGUGGAGGCUGAUUAGGGUGAAGGUCUUGGGGCCAUAAAGUUGUUUAAAUAGGUUUCAAACCCUAAAACUUAGGGUUUGAAAUCCCCACAUGUAUGCCUUGCGUAAGCAAAGUAUGUGAAGGGUUUGAGCCAAAAGAAUAUCCUAUGUGCUCAUGCAAACCCUAAUGCUUGGAUAUAGGUUUCUCUAGUUAUACAUGCAUUCAUCCAAGACUUUCAGACCCUAGAUCUAAUGAGUAUAAUUCGAAAUUAAUGAGACAAAUUAGAUCUAGAUGAUUACCUCUUGUUGUUUGCUUGAAUCUUCUAGUCUUUGAAGCUUAGAGUUACAAGUGUCACUCCUCUAAUGGCUUACAAACACCAAUAACAAAAUAAUGAUCUUGGAGAGAGGUUGGAGGCUCUUGAAUUCGGCUCUUGCACUCUUAGGAGUAGGGUAGCCAAUUUCUGGAGUCUGUAUAGUACUAAUAUUUUUUUUUGGUAAAUAGGAUUGGCGAUUGGCAUAUGUUAUCAUUUUCUAUUGGUAUUUUGAAGGGCCACAUGUGUUCCUUGUAAUAUAAUUAACAUGACAUAAAAUUAAAAUCCCACAAAAUAGGGGUAAUAUCACCCAAGUAUGAACUAUUUUCCAUAUUUUUCGAUACUUAUGUUACAAAAUAACAAUAUGGAAUAUUUUACAUAUUUACUUUCAAUACUUAUGUUGUAUAAGACCAUUUACAACCAUUUAAUAUUGUCUUUUACACUAAAUUAACUAAACUGAUAUGAGUAAUAUUAAUUUUAAAUUAUUUUUAAUCCAUUAUAUAUAUAAUAAACCAAGAGGACGCUUAUGUACAAUGAAGUUUUGGCUUUUCGAAUUCUGCCACACAACUUUGUCUUUUGUUUACUUUUUAUUUCUUCCGUUUUUGUCACUUUAGAAUUUAGCCACAUCAUUUUUGGAAGUUGGCAAGUUGGUCAUUGAUGUGAAUCACCGCCUUUCUCCUCCAAUUCCAAUAUCCAUCACCUCAUCCGAACAUUCUCCAUCUUCAUUUUUUUGGCAUGAGGUCGUCGACGAAUAUGAACGGUGAUUAGAGGUACCGUUUGUUAUCGACAUCAUGACAUCACCUGCUCUUCGAGACUGUCCCUGUUAAGUCGAAGCAAGUCGCUUGGGGUAGUUCCAUGCACCGUAUGUGCGUUUUCUCCUCUCUUGACGACUUAUGGAGGCUUCGUUUGUAUUCCGGUUGCCUUGGAGAGGGAUACAUCGAUUUCUAGGGUUUCUGCAGAUCUGAAUCCUGUUCUCCGGUGAACUAACAAAAUUGUUCCACCAUCUUCUACACCGGUACGUCUUUUCUAUAUAUACUUUAUUUUCUCAAUUUUGUGGCUGUGGUUUUCCGAUUUUCCGGUCGUCGUCCCUUUUCGCAACAAUCUGAAUUCUUAAAUCAACUUGGAAUUGAAACACGGCAGUGGAAGUCGUUAUAGGGUUUUUAUUUGAUCACUGUUGUAGAGGUUCUACUGUUGGAUAUGUAUAAUAUAAGAAAAUUGGUUGUAUAAUGGAUUCCUCUCAGUCCUUAGAAACAACAAUUUCAAUGAAUUUUCUGUAUUUGCAGUUUUUGUUAUGAAUAUUUAUGUAGUUUGAAGCAUUUUAUAUAAUCUUCCAGUACCCUAAGGAAGCAGGAUGGGCUGAUGGUUGUCAGAUUGUUGCUUGCACUCAAUCAAGAUAGUUGGCGGUGCAUGUACUUAUUAUCAAUGUCCUUUUUGGUUAAUGCUCACUGUUAUCAUAUAAUGCCUUUUUAAUGCAUUUACUUUACCUUCGUUUUCACUAAAUUUGCACUAAAACUGCGUCUAACGGCAAGUUUGAAUGAUUACCAGAAAGAAUGGGAGUCAAACUUGGAGAAGAAGUUGGUAUACUAUUCAAUUUGAAGAUGUCACAAAUUCAGUGAAAGUUUAUCUAAAGCUCAAUAAAUGAUACAAUUUGUGCAAUUAUCCUUGGUCUAAACAAAAGAAAUUACAGGUUCGCCUUGCGCAAACGUUACUUUGCUAUGCUAUUAUUAUAUUUAUCAUUAUUAAAUGAAGUGAAUUGUGAUAUCUUAUUGAUGCAUAUGGAUUGUUGCAGACUGAGAAACACGACCUUCUUUAGAUGAGGCGUGUAGCAACAUAUAUUUACAAGAAGGCUGGUAGAUAGAACCAUUCAAUUACAUUGUCUAAGAAAGACAAGCUUUACAAGGAUGCCAUGGAGAUAGCCUCACAAUCCAGUAACUGUCAGUUAGCAGAAGAAUUGCUCCUUUAUUUCAUCGCUCAGGUACAAACCUAUUAGUUGCGGUUUAUGUUGAAUAUGAUGGUAUUUGUGAGGGCCAAUUGGUGAACUCAGUGUGUUAUAAUAAUAUAAUUGAGGUUAUGCAUCAUUACAGGGAAAAAAUUAAUGUUUUUCUUCGUGUCUGUUUAUUUGUUAUGAUCUAAUCCAUCCAAAUUUUGCUCUUGAGUUGGCCUGGUUGAGCAAUAUGAUCGACAUUACUCUCCCAUAUCUGCUUCAGGUAAAUUUGUUAUGGUGGGUAAAUACCAUUUACUCUCUAAGAAUGAUGAUUGAACUCUUUAUAUAUAAAUUGUUAAAUGACACUUCUGAAGUUAUUACAGCUCAUUAUAGCUUUCUUUUAAAUGACACUUCUACAACUCAUUAUAACUUCCUUUUAAUUUUUAGGAAAUGAAGUUAUUAUAGGUUUCUUCCUUAUAUUUCUUAAUUUACAAUAAUUACAUUUUUGGUCUCUCUAGUUGUUAAUUUAAAAAUGAAUGAAUUACACUAUUGAUACCUCUCUUUUUUGUAUUAAUUAAAGUUUUGUCCCUGUAAAUUUUAGUGACACAUUGAAUGCGCUUCUGUAGUUGAAUUUUUCAGGUUGGAUUGCCCCUGGACUCAAAGAAACUGUAUGAUUCCCCAGAUUGCGAAUAAAAAAGCUUUUUAUAUUCUUAGAUAUAUCCACAAUGUUGUCAUUUAUUAUCAUUACAUUUGUCUUUUUUUUAGCCUCUUUUUGUGCCAUAUGAUCACAAAAAUAUGACGUUAGCCGGAUUACAUUCACAGAAAAUGAGAUUCAUGCUUCAAACAUUGAACGACCUUCAUUGUGUAGGGAAAAGACUUUAGCAUCAAACCAUUUCAACCAAAAAAAAAGACAGUCAUUUCCAUUCCAUAUUUUUACUAUUUUCUCCUCAUAAUGCGGCACCGGUUGCUGUAUGCACAAAGUACGUUUUUUUACUGAAUAGAUUGUCUUAAUGAGAGUAAACGACUGCUUACCCACUUCUUUAAAACUUAUGUUGGAUAACAAUUGAUUGUUAGUUCAAUAAUUGUUAUGCUUUAAAACAGUAUGACAGCUACCAAUUAAAACUGUAUAGCUGUUUUUUUCGGAUGAAUACAUUGUACAAAUAUAAGUAGAUGACCAUUUCACCAUUUUGUUUAAAAAGUGUUGCUAUUGUUUUGUAGAUGUUUAAAAGUGAUCGAAUCACAAACGAGUUAUGAAUUUCUAUUCCGAAACACGAAUCGGCUCCACGCUAACAAUAUCCAAAUACACUCCAACCCAUGCGUAGCAUGGGAUACAUUUCCAGUUAUAUUAUAUUUUUGACACCAAAAAAGAAAAUUAUAUAUAUAUAUAUAUAAAAUCUUACUUUUAUAACUUUACUAUUGAAACCUUUGUAUAUCCUUUUUAUCAUACUUUUAUAACGUUAUUAAGACUAACUUCAACCAUAAAUCCACUAAAACACACAAAAAUAAUGAACUUUUAACACUAAAGUAGAGUAAAAAAUUACACUAUAGACAUAUUAUAAUAUAAAUUAGAAUAGUUAUAUAAUAAAUAAAUAAUAAAGUGUAUUAUAAUAUUGAUAAAUAAAAAUGAAAACUAAAUUAAAUGAUAAUUAAAUCAUUGAGCAGAUUUGGUGUGGUGAACAGUGACCCUACAUUUAUAGCAAAAAAUUGUUUCACAUAAAAAUAUCAACUUCUUUAGAGGCCAAUUGCAGUAACAUUUUGCAUGAUAUCACUAAAUUGACGGUCGAUUGGAGAUGCCGUAAAGAAACCUUGUUUGUAUUUAUUAAUUUUUUUACAAACUAAUAUGUUUUUAUUUUAACAGUUUUAUAAAUCAAAUCAAAUACAAAACCAAAAGUAGUUAUGUCAUUAUUACAAUAUUUUAUUAUAAUUUGUAUUGGUUUUAAGUUAAUAAAUAUAAUAAAACUUUUUUUAGAACAAAGAGAAUUUCAUUAACCAAAACUAGCAAAAAUCUAGAUGAACAAAACAAGGAAACAAAUUACACAAUACACAUCAUAGGAUUUUGAAGCCAUCCAACCCAACUAAACUACCCCUUAUAUCUAUAUUGACACAAAGAGAACACUUUUGUGACAAUACAAUAAAUAUAACAGAUUUCUUAGGGACACUUUUACCAAAGAUAGCAUUGUUUCUGAACAACCAAAUAUGCCACCACAUGAGAAGGAACACAACUUCAAGAAACUCCUUCUGAAGUUUGGAAAUCCGAAUACUAGCAAACCACAAUAACCAAUCUCUAUAACACAAAAUAAUCGGCAUAGUAAUGCCUCACCAACGUAAGAUUUUGUGUUGCACUUCCAAAGCAAACGAACACAAAAAGAAAAGGUGAUUAACCGAGUCAACCCCUUUAUGCUAACUUCCGACUUAAGUGUGUAUUUUCAAAAACCAUAUAUUUUUAUUUAAAAGGAGUAUUCCCCUUUAGAAAAGACUUUCCCGAAGGUGGUGCAACAUUUAGUGAAGAUACAAAGCGUUUUGUCUUGUUUUGCAAACGAUGCUACAUUACUCUCUUAUGGUCACUCAUGAUUGAAGCCUUCAAGAUUUAGGCAAUUUUUGAUGGACUAGCUUAUAAAAAAUGAUGUUUGCUGAAACUAGAUGAUAAAUUAAUUGAAAUGUAUAAAAUAACAUAAAAAAGCAUAUUGAAAAUUGAGUUUUUAGUUUAUUAUUAUUAUUAUUUUUUUAUAAUGGAUAAAAUGUAUAUUUGUGACUGUUUUAUAAAAAUUCAUGUUGAAAUGCUACUGUGAAUAGCUUUAAUUUAUAAGUUACUUUUUCAAAUAUAAAAACCUUUAAAAAGUAGACAAAUAAAUUGAUUUUGACUCGCAAAAUAUAACCUUACAUAAUAACUUAUUUCCUUAUUUCUUAUUUAAUGUAUGUUUUCCGUGGUUCUAAAUGAACCCAAAGCCCAAAAAUAUUAAUUUGGACCAUUUGUUAUCGGAACAAUCAUAUUAGGAUGACACGUGUCGGUAAGAGUCGUAUUUAGCAUUUACAAUUAAAGAACUUUAGAAGGAAAACGUGAUAAAUGAAGAUUCAAGAUUGGCAAAUUUAGGUGUGUUUCGAAAGUGAAAGAGAAAUGUAGAGGAAAAGAAGUUUGAUAAUACUUUUUAAAAGUCAUCAAAAGACAACUUAGAAUUUAGGUUUGGUUUUCAUAUGCUCUACAAAAUAGAAUAUAUAAUGAUUAUUUAUAUUAACUAGAUAAAGGGCAUUGAGCCUCUUUAUGUGCUUCUUUAAAUCGGAGACAAAACUACUCCAUUAAGAUUAUAUUUCAUUUUUUCAAUCUAUUUUAUUCAGAUCAGUUCUUGCAUUUUCUUUUUGGGUUAUAAAUAACAAUGCAAGUUGUCAUGAAGCAAAAAAAUAUGUAUGUGUAUUAUGUUCAAUCCAUCAAUCCAUCAAUAACAAAGAAUUGAAUCCAAAACGAAUUCAUAUGUUGUAAUGCAAAAUUGUACGAUAUAAAUUACAACAUCAUCCAUGAAUAACUCAAAAAACUUGUUUCAGGACAUUAUUUACUGAUAAACAUUGGUAAGAACAAUUUUAAAGAGCACAAACCUUCGCCAUUUCUUGUCUUCGACAUCAGCUCAAAAAUGAGAAAAUUUUGUCAGUCUGCAAUCUUGACACAAUACAAGGAACAUGGGUAUCAUUCUAAAUGAAAUCGUUUUUUUUAUAUGUUACAGACAAUUAAUUAAUCAAUUUUAAAAACCAAAAGUUAGCAUUCAUGGAAAAUUAAAGCUCAAAAGCUUUCAAAGGUUAAGUGAUCAUACAUAAGUUUUUUCAUUGAUAUCAAAAUUUAGACAAAUUUCCGAUAACCAUCACUAUUCACUAGCAACAUCUUUUAUCACAUAUCUAAAAUCAAUAAACACUUAUGCUCUGAUUCACUCAACUACAUAAAACAUAAAAAUCAUUAACUCAAUAAGAGAGAACUGAAUCACAUAUUUUAUCGCAUAUCUAAAAUAAUAUUUUAGUGAAUAUGAAAAAAAACACUGAUAGAAUGUAAGCAAACCUCAGCAUUUCUCAUGAAACAACUCAAGAGNCAACUGUUUCAACGUUUUCGGUCCAGUUUAUGCAUUCGUUCCCCUCCUACUGCAACUGACGGAGAGUAUUAUAUCUCAUUUAUUGUUGUAUAUCCUUUCCUAUUUAUCCUCUUGUAUUUUAGGUGGUUUGUUGUGAUUGUUCUGUAUGUAUUCGGUCAUUCAUAGGUAAUGAGGGAAGAUUACGUUUUGCAAACCUUUAAAGAGUUGCAGAAAUAGACUCUUUUCCAUAAAAAAAAAAAAUCAAAUUUAAACAGACCUAAAUUUCAAUUCGAAAGUAAGAACUGAUAGUUGGGGUUAGGUUUUACGGAUAUACCUAGAAUAAACAUGUGGAAGAAAGGGGAUUCUCUGGGUCUUCUUCUGGACAGUCUCCUAGAUCCCAAAAUCUUUAUCAACAAUAAGUUUACCCAUACAAAGGUGUUUCAGUGGUUCCUCACCAAUCGCAGAAAACGAAUACAUACAAUCGAUGUUUGUGUUUUUCUACCAUCUUUCCGAUCAAUUGAACACAACAUACACAAACAUUUGGUGAGUAUUUUUGGGUGAGGAAAAUGGGAGCGAUGGAAGGAAGUGGAAGGUAGAAGGUUACCAAUUCCUAUAAGGUGGAACAAAUCGAAGAAAAAAGAAGCGGUGAGAAUGGCGGUGGAAGGAUCCAUAACACAAAAGCGGUGGAACAAUCACAUUGGAACUAAAAACGGUGAAGAUCCAUAAGCAAACAUGUAGAAUUGAAGCCUUGACUCCACUUAGCUACCAUUGACCAGCCCAAAAGUAGCAACCUUAAAAAAUUAUUGGACAAAAA